rnacentral:sRNA from 1 species
GCAGCUGAAAGAAGUACAAGCAGACAAGGAGCAAAGCGAGGCUGAGCUCCAAGUGGCACAACAGGAGAACCAUCGCUUAAAUUUGGACCUGAAGGAGGCCAAGAGCUGGCAAAAGGAGCAGAGUGCUCAGGCCCAGCGACUGAAAGACAAGGUGGCCCAGAUGAAGGACACCCUAGGCCAGGCCCAGCAGCGGGUGGCUGAGCUGGAGCCCUUGAAGGAGCAGCUUCGAGGGGCCCAGGAGCUUGCCACCUCAAGCCAGCAGAAAGCCACCCUUCUUGGGGAGGAGUUGGCCAGCGCAGCAGCAGCCAGGGACCGCACCAUAGCCGAACUACACCGCAGCCGCCUGGAAGUGGCUGAAGUUAACGGCAGGCUGGCUGAGCUCGGUUUGCACUUGAAGGAAGAAAAAUGCCAAUGGAGCAAGGAGCGGGCAGGGCUGCUGCAGAGUGUGGAGGUAGAGGGAUGGGGGGCAUCUGGCAAUCUGAAGGCCACUGCCCCCACCUCUGUGGGGACUCCUACAUGUGGUCAGACCCUCUGGGAGGAGAGAAGAGGGGUUGAGAACCUUAGAGGAC